AUGGGAGAACAACAAUUCAGAAAGCUAAGGACCUGGAGAUACCCAAAGGAAACAGAAACACUAAUUCCUUCUCUGCAUUUAAUGAUGAGAUUGUUAUCAAAAUCCAGGAAAGCUGGGCUGAACUUAGGUGAUUCUGAGGAGAAUUGCAAGCUUCUGCAAUCAAUGGAAGAUCUUGUGCAAAGGGGCUAUAGGAGAGGACGUGGAGAGGCUCAUAUCAUCUCUAUGGGAGGUUGCCAGGCAGCCUCCUCUGCUACUUUGGCCAGAGCCAGGCUGAGGAAGAGGGAGUUGUGGCUGCAAUACUCUCCGAAGAAGAAGGCAGAAGGCUGGAUGGGCAUGGACAAUGGGAUGCUCCUGGAAGGAUGA
rnacentral:rRNA from 1 species